rnacentral:rRNA from 1 species
AUGAUUGAAUGUUUCUUCUUCACUUUAUUGUUUUUUUGUAUGAGUGCAUAUGCUAAACCUGAAUUCCUACUAAGUUGGUAUUACCUACUUGACCAAAAUGUUUGGACCGUCACCCUCGCGCCAAGGCGCGGUCCCGAUCUAGUAGAGGUGAAACAAGGAGAGGAAGGCAUCACCCUCUGUCAGUCAGGUUAUGCAGCUUGUAUCCUAGAGAAGAUGGGCCUGUCAAAUUGCAAUCCUACACAUACACCUAUGGAGCUGAGACUGAAACUGAGUAAACACAGUCAGGCAGAGCAGGUUGAUCCAACAGAGUAUAGAAGUGUAGUCGGUAGCCUCAGGUAUCUGUUGCACACUCGACCAGAAUUCAGCUAUUUUGUUGGAUAUGUUAGUAGGUUUAUGGAGAAACCUACAAAGGAACACAUGGCGGCUGUCAAAAACAUAUUGAGAUAUGUAAAAGGUACAGUAAAUCUUGGAUGCAGUUUCAGGAAAUCUGAUAAACCUCCAUCAUUACUGGGGUAUUGUGACAGUGACCAUGCCGGAGAUAUUGAUGAUCGCAAGAGUACUACAGGUGUUCUGUUUUAUUUUGGACAGUGCCCUGUAUCUUGUAUAUCACAAAAACAAAGGAUUGUUGCACAAUCGUCGUGUGAGCCAGAGUAUGUAGCUGCUGCUUCUGCGGCUUGUCACGGGGUGUGGCUGGCCAGGCUUGUCGAGGAAUUGUUGGGCUGUGAUGAAGUCAAGUUCAAGAAGCUGUGUGGAAACAGGCAAGACAAAAGUGGAGCACGUCAGAACAGAGGAUCAGUAUGCAGACAUUCUCAUCAAGUCACUUGCCAGGAUUCGGUUCCAGGAGCUGAAGAAGAAGAUUGGCAUGCAGAUGGUAGGUUCAGGACUCCAAGAUUAGAGGGGUGA